rnacentral:rRNA from 1 species
UGGGGAAUUUUGGACAAUGGGCGAAAGCCUGAUCCAGCAAUGCCGCGUGUGUGAAGAAGGCCUUCGGGUUGUAAAGCACUUUUGUCCGGAAAGAAAUCCUUGGCUCUAAUACAGUCGGGGGAUGACGGUACCGGAAGAAUAAGCACCGGCUAACUACGUGCCAGCAGCCGCGGUAAUACGUAGGGUGCAAGCGUUAAUCGGAAUUACUGGGCGUAAAGCGUGCGCAGGCGGUUUGCUAAGACCGAUGUGAAAUCCCCGGGCUCAACCUGGGAACUGCAUUGGUGACUGGCAGGCUAGAGUAUGGCAGAGGGGGGUAGAAUUCCACGUGUAGCAGUGAAAUGCGUAGAGAUGUGGAGGAAUACCGAUGGCGAAGGCAGCCCCCUGGGCCAAUACUGACGCUCAUGCACGAAAGCGUGGGGAGCAAACAGGAUUAGAUACCCUGGUAGUCCACGCCCUAAACGAUGUCAACUAGUUGUUGGGGAUUCAUUUCCUUAGUAACGUAGCUAACGCGUGAAGUUGACCGCCUGGGGAGUACGGUCGCAAGAUUAAAACUCAAGGAAUUGACGGGGUCUAGCUGUUUCCU